rnacentral:rRNA from 1 species
UAAAUCAGUUAUCGUUUAUUUGAUAGUACCUUACUACAUGGAUAACCGUGGUAAUUCUAGAGCUAAUACAUGCGUAAAGGCCCGAUUGGGCUGUAUUUAUUAGAUCCAAAACCAAUGCCCUUUGGGCUUCUUGGUGAUUCAUAAUAACUUAACGAAUCGCAUGGCCUUGAGCCGGCGAUGGUUCAUUCAAAUUUCUGCCCUAUCAACUUUCGAUUGGUGAGUAGUGUUCACCAAUGGUGUCGACGGGUAACGAAGAAUUAGGGUUCGAUCUCGGAGAGGAAGCCUGAGAAACGGCUUGCACAUCCAAGGAAGGCAGCAGGCGCGCAAAUUACCCAAUCCUGAUACAGGGAGGUAGUGACAAUAAAUACUGAUGCAGGGCUCUUUUGGGUCUUGCAAUUGGAAUGAGUACAAUUUAAAUCCCUUAACGAGGAACAAUUGGAGGGCAAGUCUGGUGCCAGCAGCCGCGGUAAUUCCAGCUCCAAUAGCGUAUAUUAAAGUUGUUGCAGUUAAAAAGCUCGUAGUUGAAAUUUGGGUCUGGCUGACCGGUCCGCCUCACCGCGUGUACUGGCUCGGCCGGGUCUUUCCUUCUGGGGAAGCCCAUGGCCUUCACUGGCUGUGUGGGGGAACCAGGACUUUUACUUUGAAAAAAUUAGAGUGUUCAAAGCAGGCCUUUGCUCGAAUACAUUAGCAUGGAAUAAUGGAAUAGGACGGCUUUCCUAUUUUGUUGGUUUCUAGGAGAGCCGUAAUGAUUAAUAGGGACAGUCGGGGGCAUCAGUAUUCAAUUGUCAGAGGUGAAAUUCUUGGAUUUAUUGAAGACUAACUACUGCGAAAGCAUUUGUCAAGGAUGUUUUCAUUAAUCAAGAACGAAAGUUAGGGGAUCGAAGACGAUCAGAUACCGUCGUAGUCUUAACCAUAAACUAUGCCGACUAGGGAUCGGCCGAUGUUACAAAUAUGACUCGGUCGGCACCUUACGAGAAAUCAAA